AUUUGAAAAAACAUGAGCAGCAGGUGAACUUCUGGAAUAUAUCAUGAAUUCUUCCUAUGGAUCUUUAUUGUUGUAUAGUAUUUAAACUUAAUGCAACUUUAAUUGGGAUCGUCAAUUUUUCAAUUUUUUGUAAUGGAUUUUCUCACUAAUUUCAAAUGUUUGAAUGCUGUAUAGAUGUAAUCCUAUGCAUGACCUGCAUAUUAGUUACUAAUUUUUUUAAAAAUUAAUAAUAACAGCUAAACAAACAUUUGUUAUACUAUCAUUUGACUAGUUAGAAUUAUGAUAUCCAAUAUAAAAUUAUUGUAUGGUGAGGUAUGAACCUAAAUUUUAGGUAACCAAUGAUAGAAAAAGUAGCAUUAAUCCACACAUAGUUCACUCACUGUUUAAUCUACUGUGUUAAAAUUAGUAUUUUCCUUUUCUCUAACAAAAAGGUAAGCCAGUGAAUGUCUUUCUAUAAUGCUAGUUUUCUUGGGUAUUUCUUUUGAUCUUUCUGAUCUAACUUUGUUUUAUAAAUACCAUGUUGCCCAACCCCGGCCCCAAAAUCACAUUCUCUCUCUCAAUUUUUUUAGCUAAUUUAAAAAGAGAGGCAGAUGAUUAUUUAUAGUAACAGUCAUUUUUAAUAGCCAUCUACAUUAUUAGAUCUUUUGCCAUUUAGCUAUUCUCAAAGGAAUGUAAAUAAAUAAAAUGAAAUGGGAAAACAUUAAAUUAAGACUUGAGUAACUAUUACUGUAAAAUAACUAAAAGGAAAGAAAAAAAAUGCUGAAAGCAUGUUCUGCCAUGCAUAACCUUUUGUUUGUUUCAUCAUUAUGAUGUAUUUUUGUGUGGAGCUUUCAAAUUUCUCUAUAAGAAAUGGAAAUGAUACCAAAAAAAUAUGAAAUGUGAAAUUAAGAGUUAUUAGCAUUCUCAAAUA
rnacentral:misc_RNA from 1 species